AGAUCUCAUAGAUCCGUGAACCUUGAACCCGAAAACCUUCGAAUCCGAAAUAUUAGACCCGAAAUCUAUCAUCUUGGACUGUUGGACAGAUAUUGAGCGUGUUUCAGGUGUAUUGACUGUUACUGUUCUUGUUCGUUGACUUAGGGUACUUAUAGUUGUGCUUCUUUCAGGUACUCAGGCUAAUCAAGGAUAAAGAUUGUUAUGAUAGGCUUGGACUUCGGAGAUUAGUGCUCCUUCAUUUGUUGUCACACUUUAAGGCUAAAUGCCUUGGAUUAUU